UAACCUGCCCAAGAGAUCGGGAUAACACCUGGAAACAGAUGCUAAUACCGGAUAACAACAGAUGAUGCCUAUCAACUGUUUAAAAGAUGGUUCUGCUAUCACUCUUGGAUGGACCUGCGGUGCAUUGGCUAGUUGGUAGGGUAACGGCCUGCCAAGGCGAUGAUGAAUAGCCGAGUUGAGAGACUGAUCGGCCACAUUGGGACUGAGACACGGCCCAAACUCCUACGGGAGGCAGCAGGC
rnacentral:rRNA from 1 species